GAUGAACGCUAGCGGCAGGCCUAACACAUGCAAGUUGAGGGGCAGCACAGAAACAGCAAUGUUUUGGUGGCGACCGGCGGACGGGUGCGUAACGCGUAUGCAACCUACCUUUAACAGGGGGAUAACGGAGAGAAAUUUCCACUAAUACCCCAUAACAUCGAUCAAGGCAUCUUGAUUGGUUGAAAACUCCGGUGGUUAAAGAUGGGCAUGCGUUGUAUUAGGUAGUUGGUGAGGUAAUGGCUCACCAAGCCUACGAUACAUAGGGGGACUGAGAGGUUAGCCCCCCACACUGGUACCGAGACACGGACCAGACUCCUACGGGAGGCAGCAGAGAGGAAUAUUGGUCAAUGGGGGCAACCCUGAACCAGCCAUGCCGCGUGCAGGAAGACGGCUCUAUGAGUUGUAAACUGCUUUUAAACAGGGAUAAAGCACAGUAUGUAUACUGUGUUGAAGGUACUGUAAGAAUAAGGAUCGGCUAACUCCGUGCCAGCCGCCGCCGUAA
rnacentral:rRNA from 1 species